GGAUAACACCUGAAAACAGAUGCUAAUACCGGAUAACAACACUAGACGCAUGUCUAGAGUUNGAAAGAUGGUUCUGCUAUCACUCUUGGAUGGACCUGCGGUGCAUUAGCUAGUUGGUAAGGUAACGGCUUACCAAGGCAAUGAUGCAUAGCCGAGUUGAGAGACUGAUCGGCCACAUUGGGACUGAGACACGGCCCAAACUCCUACGGGAGGCAGCAGUAGGGAAUCUUCCACAAUGGACGAAAGUCUGAUGGAGCAACGCCGCGUGAGUGAAGAAGGGUUUCGGCUCGUAAAGCUCUGUUGGUAGUGAAGAAAGAUAGAGGUAGUAACUGGCCUUUAUUUGACGGUAAUUACUUAGAAAGUCACGGCUAACUACGUGCCAGCAGCCGCGGUAAUACGUAGGUGGCAAGCGUUGUCCGGAUUUAUUGGGCGUAAAGCGAGUGCAGGCGGUUCAAUAAGUCUGAUGUGAAAGCCUUCGGCUCAACCGGAGAAUUGCAUCAGAAACUGUUGAACUUGAGUGCAGAAGAGGAGAGUGGAACUCCAUGUGUAGCGGUGGAAUGCGUAGAUAUAUGGAAGAACACCAGUGGCGAAGGCGGCUCUCUGGUCUGCAACUGACGCUGAGGCUCGAAAGCAUGGGUAGCGAACAGGAUUAGAUACCCUGGUAGUCCAUGCCGUAAACGAUGAGUGCUAAGUGUUGGGAGGUUUCCGCCUCUCAGU
rnacentral:rRNA from 1 species